UACAGAGGGUGCAAGCGUUAAUCGGAAUUACUGGGCGUAAAGCGUGCGUAGACGGUUAUGUAAGUCGGGUGUGAAAGCCCCGGGCUCAACCUGGGAAUUGCAUUCGAGACUGUGUAGCUAGGGUACGGAAGAGGGAAGCGGAAUUUCAGGUGUAGCGGUGAAAUGCGUAGAUAUCUGGAGGAACACCGGUGGCGAAGGCGGCGUUCUGGACUGCAACUGACACUGAGAAACGAAAGCCAGGGGAGCAAACGGG
rnacentral:rRNA from 1 species